rnacentral:lncRNA from 11 species
GAGCAACCUGAGUCGCUUCUGGAGUGAGAGAAUUGGCCGUCUGCAAGGACGUUGCCCAGGGGACGCCUGGAUGUUUUGAUGUUUUUACCAUCCUUGUGGGAGGCUUCUCUCAUGUCCCCGCAUGGAGCUGGAGCUGAUAGAGGGAGCUCAUCCGCACUCAGAGAAUGGAUCCUAGCUGAACAUUUUCUGAACCAAUCAGGAGCACACAUGGAGAAGCCUAAGGAAGGAAGGAAGGAGAAGCCGAAGGGAGAGAAAAGGAGGCUGAAGCAGCUUUGUUUUCGCCUCACAAGGCAGCGGCAGACAGUGAGAUUGUAAACAACACAAAUAUAGCAUCCCUACUUCGCUGAUUUUCACUUUUCGUGGGUGGUCCUGGAACAUAACCUCCGUGAUAAAUGAUGGAACACUGUAUUCACAAUUGUGGCAUGUUAGUUCUUUACAGUGGUGUUUCUCUUGACAUGCUCUCUGGACACUGAAAAUAAAGUCUUUGAUUUUGCC